rnacentral:rRNA from 1 species
AUUGAACGCUGGCGGCAUGCUUUACACAUGCAAGUCGAACGGUAACAGGCCGCAAGGUGCUGACGAGUGGCGAACGGGUGAGUAAUGCAUCGGAACGUGCCCAGUCGUGGGGGAUAACUGCUCGAAAGAGCAGCUAAUACCGCAUACGAUCUAUGGAUGAAAGCGGGGGACCGUAAGGCCUCGCGCGAUUGGAGCGGCCGAUGUCAGAUUAGGUAGUUGGUGGGGUAAAGGCUCACCAAGCCAACGAUCUGUAGCGGGUCUGAGAGGACGACCAGCCACACUGGGACUGAGACACGGCCCAGACUCCUACGGGAGGCAGCAGUGGGGAAUUUUGGACAAUGGGGGCAACCCUGAUCCGGCAAUGCCGCGUGCAGGAAGAAGGCCUUCGGGUUGUAAACUGCUUUUGUACGGAACGAAACGGUCUGGGUUAAUACCCUGGGCUAAUGACGGUACCGUAAGAAUAAGCACCGGCUAACUACGUGCCAGCCGCCGCGGUAAAAC